rnacentral:rRNA from 1 species
GGAAGUAAAAGUCGUAACAAGGUCUCCGUUGGUGAACCAGCGGAGGUAUCAUUACCGAGUGUAAAAACUCCCAAACCAUUGUGAACUUACCACUGUUGCUUCGGCGGCCUCGCCCCGGGCGCGUUCGCGCGGCCCGGACCCAGGCGUCCGCCGGAGGCUCCAAACUCUUGUCUUUUAGUGUAUUUCUGAGUGGCAUAAGCAAAUAUAUCAAAACUUUCAGCAACGGAUCUCUUGGUUCUGGCAUCGAUGAAGAACGCAGCAAAAUGCGAUAAGUAAUGUGAAUUGCAGAAUUCAGUGAAUCAUCGAAUCUUUGAACGCACAUUGCGCCCGCCAGUAUUCUGGCGGGCAUGCCUGUCUGAGCGUCAUUUCAACCCUCAGGACCCGUUCGCGGGACCUGGCGUUGGGGAUCAGCCUGCCCCUGGCGGCGGCUGGCCCUGAAAUCCAGUGGCGGUUCCCUCGCGAACUCCUCCGUGCAGUAAUUAAACCUCUCGCGGCAGGAUAGCGGUUGAACCACGCCGUUAAACCCCCCACUUCUCAAGGUUGACCUCAGAUCAGGUAGGAAUACCCGCUGAACUUAAGCAUAUCAAUAAGCGGAGGA